UUGAAGAUGAAGAAUACAUAAAAAUAAAGAGCUGGAAAUUAAAGGAAAGCACUUGAAGAGAAUAUAAAAGCUGGAAAUAAAAGGACAAUGCGCGACUUGAAUAGAAGUGCAAGAAAGUAAAGAAAGUGAAGGAUAGAGAAGAUAAAGUAUAGAUUGAUUUUGGUUUGAGAUUAAAGCUGAGUUGUAUAAUUGAAGUAAGGUGGCUAAUCAUGUGAUACUUUCCGUUGUUACAAGUUUGUUUAUUGUGGAUAAUCAACACAACCUUUGGAAAGGCUGAAAAAUUUGUUAAACAAUGUAUCCUCAUGCUUUUAUCGAUAUAAGGCCAACUUCUAUUGAUAAAAGGCAUGCACUCUUCUAUAUUCAAUUAUUUCUUUCCUUGAGAUCAUUAUCACUGCUUGCCUCUUUUGCCUCCUAUUUCUUGAAAAAUACCGACUUUGCUCCCAUCAUGCCCUUUAUCAGUGUAGAACAUGACAAGAAUCUUCUCUCUUUGCCCUCAUCAUGCCCUUUAUCAGUGUAGAACAUGACAAGAAUCUUCUCUCUUUGCCCU
rnacentral:misc_RNA from 1 species